UACGUAGGGGGGCAAGCGUUGUCCGGAAUCAUUGGGCGUAAAGAGCGCGUAGGCGGUCCGGUAAGUCGGUUGUGAAAACUGGGGGCUCAACCCUCAGAGGCCGACCGAUACUGUCGGGCUAGAGUCCGGAAGAGGCGAGUGGAAUUCCUGGUGUAGCGGUGAAAUGCGCAGAUAUCAGGAGGAACACCAAUGGCGAAGGCAGCUCGCUGGGACGGUACUGACGCUGAGGCGCGAAAGCGUGGGGAGCAAACAGG
rnacentral:rRNA from 1 species